rnacentral:lncRNA from 1 species
CCUCUUGAUUUUAUAGCUUUAGAUGGCGUAGAAACAAAAAUCUAGCCGUUAGAGACAAAAAUAGAGCCGUUGGAGUCAAGAAAAAACUAGCCGUUAUGCCUCCCAGCGUGCUAGAGUCGACUCGGCUGAAGCAGGAGUCGACUCGGCUGAAAUAGGAGUCGACUCGUGAAUAGUAGUCUGCCGGCACUGUAGCUGGGAGUCGACUCCGCACUGUAGCGCUGAAGUUGGAGUCGACUCGAGCACUGUAGCGCUGAAAAACAACUCUCUGUCUUUUUGCCUGUUCUCAG